GCUGAACACAAUGGACAGAGCGCUGCUGUACAGUGCAGUCUUAGCAAUCGCCUUGUUCCCGAUGCUCACAGCGGGGGAUGUAGGCUCCUGUAACUGUCUGGACAUAAGCCUCGAGAACAGAUCCCCCUGUGGAUCUCCAGGGAUCCCCUUUGAGAUCUGUAAAGCUGCUGGCUGCUGCUAUGACCCCAGAUACUCGGGCGGUCCGACCUGUUACACUAAUCAACUCGUAACAAACCAGCAGCAACUGGAGAAAGAACAGAAGCUGAAGGAGCAGCAAAAGCUUGAAGAAUUAUGUAGAAAAUGUAAUGAGGGCCUUAUCAAGGGGGUGCUCGGAGCUAUAUUCGGAAGCAACAGAUCCCCAGACUGCAACAAAUGUAAAAGUUAGAGGAGGCACAGUUAAAAAUAAGAAAAUCCCACAACCUUUCCAUACAUGGAGUCGUCACUUGCCCACAUCGUGACACAGCUGAAAUAUCUGCU